rnacentral:rRNA from 1 species
GACGAACGCUGGCGGCGUGCCUAACACAUGCAAGUCGAACGGAGCAGAUCCCUUCGGGGGUUUGCUUAGUGGCGAACGGGUGAGUAACGCGUGAGGAACCUGCCUUUCAGUGGGGGACAACAGUUGGAAACGACUGCUAAUACCGCAUAAGCCCACGGCCCGGCAUCGGGUUGAGGGAAAAGGAUUUAUUCGCUUCAGGAUGGACUCGCGUCCAAUUAGCUAGUUGGUGAGGUAACGGCCCACCAAGGCGACGAUUGGUAGCCGGACUGAGAGGUUGAACGGCCACAUUGGGACUGAGACACGGCCCAG